AAGGCGAGAGAAAAGUGUAUACAUAGUACAAACAUAUGUACAUACAUUAGACUGCAUCACCAAAAAAAGUUACGGUUUUUAUUUAUUAUAUUUGAAGACGCCCACCCAAAUGUUUCGGAAAAAUAUUAAGAUUUACGUGAACUGGACCGAUUUGAAAAUACCUUACUUAUUCUUAUUUCAUGUUCAGACCCGGCACAGUGGGAAAUUGUCUACUGAUUUUCUUAAAAAAAAAACUGGAAAAGUAAAUUUUUAAUUGAAUUGGAUAUUUUUUUCUUUGUUAAAUACUCGGAAUGGAUUUUAGAAAAGAUUGUCUAGGCCCGAAUUAAAAAAAAAAGUUGUUUUAAUUCUUAUCAGCAAAUGGUGAAAGUCGGUAAAUAAAAGAAAAAAGGGACCAUCAAGAAACAGGUAAUGUUUCUUGGUGACAAAUUUAAGAUUGUAAAGAAAGCGAAAACGUUUUUAAGAUCUCUGAGUUCGAUUCCGAUGAUAGCAUCGUGAAAUUCAAAAUGACCGAUAAGGCGAAUACUGUUCAACACUCGUAUACUUUGCAUUUUUAUGGAUAAAGUAUGCCAUAUUGAAUUUUCUCAAGUAAGUUUUAAAAUUUAUCUGCCUUUUAAACAAAAAUUUUGUUUUGAAAAAAUAUGUGUUGAAGGGCAGAUGAAUUUUAAAAUCCACUUCUGAAAUAUGCCCUAAAAAUGUGAAAUGUGUCACCAAGAAAAAUAUUACCUCUAGUUUAAUGUUUUCUUUAAUUUUCCACUUUCACCAUUUGCUGAUUAAAAUUAAAACACAUUUUUAAUUUGGGCCUUGACGAUCUUUUCUAAAGUCCGUUCUAAGUAUUUAAAAAAAAUUUGAUUCGAUUAAGAAUUUACUCAUCCAGCGUUUUUUCAACAAAUCAGUCGAUAAUUUUCCACCUUGCCGGGUACUAAAAAUCUAUAGGAUCUGAAGCAAAUCCUAAGAUUGAAGCUCCUCGGGUCUUAUUUUAUCAACACACCGGCAGGUUCUUUGGAAUGGAAAUAAUCCUUAAAUGUUUCAAAACUUUUACAGGUACCACAGCUCACAGCUUAGAAUUGCCUAUCUCAUCUACCGUUCGUUCAUACAAAGGUUCUCAGAAAUUUAUGUGUUAGAAGUGCCGAGAGUGGCUCUAAAAUUAAUGGGAUUCUGAGUUGUUCAUUUUGAGGACCUUUCAUUUAUAAUCGGCUGUGUUUCUUUCGAAACAAUCAAACAUACCAAGACGAAACAGAAGAAAGAGAGAGAAGAC